rnacentral:rRNA from 1 species
UGGGGAAUAUUGCGCAAUGGGCGAAAGCCUGACGCAGCGACGCCGCGUGAGGGAUGAAGGUUUUCGGAUCGUAAACCUCUGUCAGAAGGGAAGAAACCGCACUGUGCUAAUCAGCAGUGCCUUGACGGUACCUUCAAAGGAAGCACCGGCUAACUCCGUGCCAGCAGCCGCGGUAAUACGGAGGGUGCAAGCGUUAAUCGGAAUUACUGGGCGUAAAGCGCACGUAGGCUGCUUUGUAAGUCAGGGGUGAAAUCCCACGGCUCAACCGUGGAACUGCCUUUGAUACUGCUUAGCUUGAAUCCGGGAGAGGGUGGCGGAAUUCCAGGUGUAGGAGUGAAAUCCGUAGAUAUCUGGGGAAACAUCAGUGGCGAAGGCGGCCACCUGGACCGGUAUUGACGCUGAGGUGCGAAAGCGUGGGGAGCAAACAGG